GACGAACGCUGGCGGCGUGCUUAACACAUGCAAGUCGAACGGAAAGGCCCUGCUUUUGUGGGGUGCUCGAGUGGCGAACGGGUGAGUAACACGUGAGUAACCUGCCCUUGACUUUGGGAUAACUUCAGGAAACUGGGGCUAAUACCGGAUAGGAGCUCCUGCUGCAUGGUGGGGGUUGGAAAGUUUCGGCGGUUGGGGAUGGACUCGCGGCUUAUCAGCUUGUUGGUGGGGGAGGGGCUUACCAAGGCUUUGACGGGUAGCCGGCCUGAGAGGGUGACCGGCCACAUUGGGACUGCGAUACGGCCCAGACUCCUACGGGAGGCAGCAGUGGGGAAUAUUGCGCAAUGGGCGGAAGCCUGAUGCAGCAACGCCGCGUGCGGGAUGACGGCCUUCGGGUUGUAAACCGCUUUCGCCUGUGACGAAGCGUGAGUGACGGUAAUGGGUAAAGAAGCACCGGCUAACUACGUG
rnacentral:rRNA from 1 species